rnacentral:rRNA from 1 species
GAUGAACGCUAGCGGCAGGCCUCACACAUGCAAGUCGAGGGGGAAGUUACUUUCGGGUAACAGAGACCGGCGUACGGGUGCGUAACGCGUAUACAAUCUGCCUUUCACUGGGGGAUAGCCCCGAAGAAAUUUGGAUUAAUACCCCAUAGUAUAGUAAUACGGCAUCGUGAUACUAUUAAAGCUUAGGUGGUGAAAGAUGAGUAUGCGUUCUAUUAGUUAGUUGGAGAGGUAACGGCUCCCCAAGGCGAUGAUAGAUAGGGGUUCUGAGAGGGAUGUCCCCCACACUGGUACUGAGAUACGGACCAGACUCCUACGGGAGGCAGCAGUGAGGAAUAUUGGACAAUGGUCGGAAGACUGAUCCAGCCAUGCCGCGUGCAGGAUGAAGGUCUUAUGGAUUGUAAACUGCUUUUGUAAGGGAAGAAUAAGGGCUACGUGUAGUUUGAUGACGGUACCUUACGAAUAAGCAUCGGCUAACUCCGUGCCAGCAGCCGCGGUAAUACGGAGGAUGCGAGCGUUAUCCGGAAUCAUUGGGUUUAAAGGGUCUGUAGGCGGGCUGGUAAGUCAGAGGUGAAAGCGCUCAGCUCAACUGAGCAACUGCCUUUGAAACUGUUGGUCUUGAAUGGUUGUGAAGUAGUUGGAAUGUGUAGUGUAGCGGUGAAAUGCUUAGAUAUUACACAGAACACCGAUAGCGAAGGCAUAUUACUAACAAUUGAUUGACGCUGAUGGACGAAAGCGUGGGGAGCGAACAGG